CUGGCAUAUGAGCUUAUGGAGCAGCCCCCUUUGAAGAUAUCCAGGUAGACUUCACAGAGAUGCCAAAGUGUGGAGAUCUUAUUCCCAGAUUUGGACUGCCCUUAUGGAUCGGCUGAGAUAACGGGCCUGCAUUUGUGGCUGACUUGGUACAGAAGACGGCAAAGGUAUUGCGGAUCACACGGAAACUGCAUGCUGCCUACUGGCCUCAGAGUUCUGGAAAGUUGGAGCGGAUUAAUCGGACUAUCAAAAAUAGCAUUAUUGUCUUCUCCGCUGGUUAUUAAAAACAAUAACACAAGGGGCGUCAAACCACCUGCCCAAUUAGAGGG
rnacentral:lncRNA from 1 species